rnacentral:lncRNA from 1 species
CAGUCAUCCCACCCCCUGCCAACCCUCAAGCAGAGCAGAAAUGGGAAUCACAUACUCCUGAAGGAAAUGAGCAGGUUUGCACAGAAACUGCUGGCCU